AGCAGCCGCGGUAAUUCCAGCUCCAAUAGCGUAUAUUAAAGUUGUUGCAGUUAAAAAGCUCGUAGUUGAAUUUCGGGAUCAAAGAAUCGGUCAUGCCUUGGUAUGUACUGGUUUUAUUGGUUCUCACCUUCUAAAGAACCAUGAUGUCAUUCAUUUGAUGUUAUGGGGAAUUAGGACUGUUACCUUGAAAAAAUUAGAGUGUUUAAAGCAAGCUUACGCUUGAAUACAUUAGCAUGGAAUAAUGAAAUAGGACAUCAGAUUCUAUUUUGUUGGUUUCUAGGAUCGAUGUAAUGAUUAAUAGGGAUAGUUGGGGGCAUUAGUAUUCAAUUGUCAGAGGUGAGAUUCUUGGAUUUAUUGAAGACUAACUACUGCGAAAGCAUUUUGCCAAGGAUGUUUUCAUUAAUCAAGAACGAAAGUUAGGGGAUCGAAGACGAUCAGAUACCGUCGUAGUCUUAACCAUAAACUAUGCCGACUAGGGAUCGGAUGAUGUUAAUUUUUUAAUGACUCAUUCGGCACCUUA
rnacentral:rRNA from 1 species